GGAGAAGUGUCAGAGUGGUCUAUUGUGCCCGCUUGGAAAGCGUGUGUGCGUAAGCACCCCGGGUUCGAAUCCCGGCUUCUCCG
rnacentral:tRNA from 1 species